rnacentral:rRNA from 1 species
GACGAACGCUGGCGGCGUGCUUAACACAUGCAAGUCGAACGGUGAAGCGCUUCCCUUUUUGGUGGGUGGGGAUGAGUGGCGAACGGGUGAGUAACACGUGAGUAACCUGCCCUCUUCUUCUGGAUAACCGCAUGAAAGUGUGGCUAAUACGGGAUAUUCUGGGUCUGUGGCAUGAUGGGUCUGGGUCAGAUAUUGUUUCGGUGGGGGAUGGUCUCGCGGCCUAUCAGGUUGUUGGUGGGGUGAUGGCCUACCAAGGCGGGGAGGAGUAGCCGGCCUGGGAGGGUGGACGGCCAGAGAGGGAGUGCGGCACGGUCCAGACUGCGACAGGGGGCAGCAGGGGAGAGUAGGGAACAGUGGGGAAAAUGGUGAAGCGGCGGCGCGGCGGGAGGGAUGGAGGCGUGCGGGUUAUGAACCUCUUUCGCCAGUGAAGCGGGCCUGCCUCGUAUGUGGGUGGGUUGACGGUAGCUGGACAAGAAGCGCCGGCUAACUACGUG